CAAUUGUCUAAAUUAUUUUUCUUUAGGUAAGCUGUUGAUAAUAUUGUCUUCGGCGUUUAGGUAUUAAAACGAAUUUCUAAAUCUUUUUAAAAAACUUUUAAAUACAGAACGUAACUCAACAUGUAUUGAUUUUACUAUAAUAUGUAAGCUGUGUUUUUUUUGGCUGUUUGUGAACAACUUUUCUACCGUAAAUUCUCUUCGAUCAAAAACUGUAGGGCCUUAUUGGUGUUUUCUGAUGGUAAAUUCAUUCCAGCUUGGUGAAUCGAGAAGAUAAUUUUGUUUUAAUUAUUCUUGUAGUUUUCAGUUACAAGGAGAAACCGGAGGAAAACGUAGGAAAACCGAAAGCAUUUACGCAAUAGCGAUUUCUUACCGUUUCGGUUUAACCUUCAGUAUAAUUAAGCCACGGGACUUCAUUAAUAAUAUAGGCCACCUGGUAUAAUUAUUAUUAUCACAGCCAUCUAAACCUAGGUAGUAAUUUCGAUUUAUUACAGACUGCCUGCAGCUUU